rnacentral:rRNA from 1 species
GUCUACGGCCAUGCCGCCCUGAACGCGCCCGAUCCCAUCUGGUCUCAGAAGCUAAGCAGGGUCAGGCCUGGUUAGUACUUGGAUGGGAGACAACCUAGGAAGACCAGGUGCCGUAGGCA